AAUGGGAUUCCCGACUGCAGUCUUCAGUCUUACUCCAUUUUGGACCCUUGUGUUGGUUGGCGCAGGAUUCUGCCUCUUGUCAAGUCUGCUCUACAGAAUUUCGGCUGAUAUUAAUUAUUAGGAAAAUGCCAUACAGAGAUUGAGCACAUGAAGCAGUGCCACCUUGUGUUCAAUACAAGAACUGUACACCAACCAUGAUGUCAAUACAACAUGUUCAUUGCCUCAGCUUGGAGUGGAAAAGAUGAAGCAUGAUUUUUAAAACAUUGUACAAAACCUAAAAGGAAUGUUAAAAAUGUACAAAUUAAAAUAUAACUGACUUGCACAAUAAAACACUGUGGUUCACACUAA